UCCCCGGCUAGGCAUGGAUUAGCUACCCUUGCCGAAAAGGCGGAACCCUUGCCGCCCGCCGGGGAGCGAAGGCUGCGCCU
rnacentral:sRNA from 12 species